UAGCCUAGUGGUUAAGGCUAUGGAUCGCCAAUCCGGAGAUGGCGGGUUUAAUUCCCGU
rnacentral:tRNA from 1 species